rnacentral:rRNA from 1 species
UUUCGCAAUGCCCGAAAGGGUGACGAAGCGACGCCGCGUGAGUGAGGAGGGCCUUCGGGUUGUAAAGCUCUGUCAGGAGUUAAGAAAUAUAAGUGUGUUAAUACCACAUUUAUUUGACGAAGGCUCCAAAGGAAGCCACGGCUAACUCUGUGCCAGCAGCCGCGGUAAUACAGAGGUGGCAAGCGUCGUUCGGAAUUAUUGGGCGUAAAGAGCACGUAGGUGGGUUUGUGAGUCAGAUGUGAAAGCCUUCUGUUCAACGGAAGAAUUGCAUCUGAAACUGCGAGUCUUGAGUGUAGGAGGGGGGAAUGGAACUUCUGGUGGAGCGGUGAAAUGCGUAGAUAUCAGAAGGAACGCCGGCGGCGAAAGCGAUUCUCUGGCCUAUUACUGACACUCAGUGUGCGAGAGCUAGGGGAGCAAACGGGAUUAGAUACCCCGGUAGUCCUAGCUGUAAACGAUGGGCACUAAGUAGAGGGGUUUUA